rnacentral:rRNA from 1 species
UACGGAGGGUGCAAACGUUGCUCGGAAUCAUUGGGCGUAAAGCGCACGUAGGCGGACCGCUAAGUCGGAUGUGAAAGCCCUCGGCUUAACCGAGGAAGUGCAUUCGAAACUGACGGUCUUGAGUAUGGAAGAGGGUCGCGGAAUUCCCGGUGUAGAGGUGAAAUUCGUAGAUAUCGGGAGGAACACCAGUGGCGAAGGCGGCGACCUGGGCCAAUACUGACGCUGAGGUGCGAAAGCGUGGGGAGCAAACGGG